AAUUCUGCACUGGAAAUCAAUGGGCCAUAUUCCACAAAGAGAUGGACUGAAACUGCAUCCUUCCUGUAUCUUCUGUCUCUGCACUUAUAAAAAGAGGCCAACAGUGUACUCCUACCUCCUCUUUGGGUUACAACAAACCUAAAUCACCGGCUAUUUGCAAAGAUCCUAGGGUCAAAAAUAUGUAGGCUGCAUCUGCUUGAUUCUGCUGGGACUCUGAAGAGUUGAGCUUUCUUGGGUUGUGGGUUACCCAGCAGAGGGCAACGUCACUCUCACACAUGAAAACUAUUUGUAUGCUGCUUGAUCCAAAACUUGCUGAAAGCACGAGGAAUCCUUUCUUUGGCCUUUAUAGCUCUGUUUAAAUGCAGAUUUUUACUGUAUUUCAAUAUUAGCCUUGAAAUGAAAUGGCAGUCUGUGAGCACUCCCAUGGCACUGUUGGCAGCUAGCCCUAGAAAAAAAAACUUCAAAACCUUCCAGUGCUGGCCAGAAACACAAUAGGAAUUUUUAUUUUGUUGAUGGUUGAUACAGUGCUAAUAUCCUUAACAGCUGUGACUGAGAGGUGCUUUGAGUGUUGCAUGACUUUACUUAACUUUUAUCUAUUUAUUUGAUAUGUGACACAAGGGUAUUUGAGGUACAUGUCACAGGAGCUAGAAAAGAAGCACAUCAGGUAGAUCCUGACCUCAUGGAAACUGAUGGCAGCAUUUUUGUUCAUUUUCAAUGAGGUCUGGACUGUGCCUGAGCUUCCCCUCCAACCUUAUGGUGGUCAGGGUCCUUGGGGCACUAUUGAACCUUACUGACACUGAUCAGCUCCUCUCCUCUCUCCAGGAGACCAGUUUCAGCUUAGGGCUUGGCACCCAGUCCUGGCCUGUGGGCAUAUUUCUCUCUGACCUUGCCUUCUGGAUGGACCCCAGUCCUGUCUCCAGUCCUACCUCUUGCCCGUGUCUGCUGGACUGACCUUGGAAGUGCCUGGUUACUUUGUCUGCUCAGAGGCUGCUGCUGAGAUUCACUGCUGUGACCUCUGGGCUCUGCCCCAUCCUCAGAUCCUGUGGGACUGUCACUCUGCCAGUGACGGCAUGGCCUGUGCUGGGUCACCUGUGCUUCCUGGUUUGAUCUACUCAUGGCACAGCCCUGCUCCCACUGCUCGUGCAGAGACUCAGUUUAUGCCCUGUGAGAAAUCCCCAAUGAGAAAUUCAGUGAAAGCAUUUAGAGCACUUGAAAUGAACAGAGGUUGUGGUGGUCGUAUUUGCUAGAAAAAUCCCUUUGCCCAGGAUUCUUUUCCCAGGAAGCUGAGAAGCCUCAGAGAAAAAGGAAAACAAUAUUAUCUUGUUUGCUUCUCCUGUGUUUUGCUGCUUUGGAAUGUGGUUGGAGAUUGUUUAUCCAACAGGUGAUUGUUUCAUUGGUUUCAUGUGAAUUUUUUUGACUUAAUGACCAAUCAGGGUCAAGCUGUGUCAGGACUCUGGAAGGAGUCAGGAGUUUUUCCUUAGUAUCUUUUAGCCUUCUGUGUUCCUUGCUGAGCAAACAGGAUGAAGUGAGUCCUUUCAACAGCCUUUCCCAUCUUGGAUGUACUGGAGAGAAAUUUCCCCAACAAGCUGAAUCACACUGGGAAAAGCUGCUGCCUGGGAUUUUUCUUCUCCAAAAAAUAAUUUGUUUAUAUGAAUGCAUCGCUGUAGCUGCUGCAUGGGCUAUCCAGGUCUUCAGGAAGGGGAUACUGCAGCAGUCUUUCCUCCUAGGGCAUCACUUUCAUGUCAGGGUUGAGGUGCUAAACCUUGACAUACAACUGAGAGAAGAAUCUCCCUGAACUGAACAAAUGUGUCACUUUUGAAUAAGGAUUCAUGAAAAGGCAGAAGAGGAGAAGAAAAAAGAAUAAAGACCUUGGAGCAGCUCUUGUAAAUAACUGCAAAAACACUCCAGAAUCCUUCCAACAGAAUGUACUAUUGUCAUGUUUUAGCAUGAAUUUGAGCUCUGACAAGGGUGGCAUUAUUCCAGCCUUGGAGUAGGAAGAUGCCUGUUCACUGGUAGGACAUGUAAAUUGUAACUUGUGAUGGUACGAAGUCCCUUCAUAUCAAGUGGAAGACUUAAGAAAUGCUCUGCCCAUCUGAAGGCGGGAUGUGUGCCCUGAUCCCUAAAGCACUCUUGGGUUCUCUCAGUUUCAGUCAAGAAUUCCUGGUGUAUAGCUGUCUGGAGUCUUUGCCUUCUACGGCAGGAAUUGAAGGAAAGCUCUGGUAAUUUAUUUGCAUGAAUAUCUUUGCUUUUCAUAUGGGUCUUUUAGUUGUUUUUUUUUUUUUUGUUGUUGUUUGUUUGGUUUUUUAAUAUAUUGUUGCAAUUAUUGAGCCUCUUAGUCUUUCUGAGCAAAUGCAAAAUUGACUAUGAAAACAGAAUGUAAGUUAUCUUUGCUAGUUGGGUGAAAUAUCUACUGCUCAAAAUCCAGGUUUCCUUUGAUUAAUCAUUGUCACAUUUUACAUUAAGGCACCCCACUGUCCAUAUUAAUUUCCUUUCUAAUUGCAUCUCAAUAGCUCAGUAAUUUCAGUUGUGCAUUUUGGAAGUCCUCUUUUUAGUUUAUUCAGCAAACUGCUAAAGUAACACAAUGGCUAGCCUUUCUGACAGAAAAGUAGUACAAAAAGCUUUGUUCUCUUUCAUCUGGCAGUUGUGGGUUAGUGCUUAAGAGAUAGUUUAUUACUGCACAGGGGGAAAGGGGUUAACCUGUAUUUAUGUGUUGUUGUUGAUUUUUAUGUCAAUAUCUUGCAAAUUAAAAAUCCUGGCAAUAAAAGUGACAUGUGAGCAGUCAAGUGAACAGACAAGCAAUGCUUUCAUUCAGGGAGGUUUAAACAGGCUAAAAAUUGGACUGGGACAUGAACGUUUUGUUCUGAUAAUGUCAGUUUGGCUCUGCUGCAAUUUCAUUACAGUGUUUCUAAUCACAUUGUUUCAUGUUUUUAAUUAAUCUGAGGUACAAUAAUCAAGUUCAAUGUUUCAGCUAUGUAAGGAAAACAUGAGCUGCCUAGCUAAACCCAUUGAAAAUAUCCUUACAUGCACUAUGGAAAAAUACACCUUCAUAAACAAAGUGCACAUGUCUGAUGCUUAAUCAUGUUCCUCAGAAAUAAAAUGACCAUGCUCUAUAUGAUUCUUAAGUGAUAUAUAUAGAAACAAGCUGUUCCAUAAUCAAUGUAGGUAAUGAAGCCUGGUUUCCUUAAGGUCUGUGUUCUUUGUUCUUAAAUCCUCAAAUUCAGUUCCCUCAGAGUUUACAGUAACAAUGACUCACCCAUUGUGGAUAAUAUUAGGAGUAAGUCAGGGCUUAAAGAAAGGCAUGUUCCUACAGUAUGGCACGGCAACAUUUGUUAAAUCUCUGCAUGAAAUUUCUACUAAAUGUAGAAAUUUAGGAUGCCACAUGCAGAGUUGGUUGGUAUUCAGAACCAGAAGACUCCAAGCUCCAGCCAUAAACUUAGACACAAGUUAUGCCAAGUGUACAAAAAAAUUUUUCCAAGCCCAGGCUAAGGGUACUCCUUGCAUCCUGCUGAAGGUGAACUUGUGCUGUUAAGUGACACCUCCAAAAGAGUUCCCAGUGCCUCAGCACUCACCUGACAUAUCUACAGUUUUUCACAAGAAGGAUGGGACCUACAUAAAGUGAAAAAAUUGGGACAGAUAAGACCAUUUGGGUGUGCUCUGUUAUUUGUCCAUUUUGUACUUUGACCAUAAAUAAGAGACUGUUUUGGAUGACAUACUCCUUACUCCUCACUACUUCCAGUGCAGCUGUAUGCCUUCACAGAAAAUUGAUUAAGAGCUGUGAAGCUGCACCUAACUGGACAGGGGAGCCAGUUUGAUGUGGGACCCUGGGAGCUGUCAGAAAAUGAGAGAAAAGAGAAAGAGAUUGUGAAGACAAACUUGGUCACCAUGUACUUUCCAAAGGCUGUGUCAUCCACGAGAGUUCUGAUACACCUGGGAGGAGUGGGGAGCCCUGAUCUCUUCUUAGCCACUGCUACUCAGAUGAACCCUGCAAGGCAGAUACAAAUGCACAUCCCAGAGCUCAGAUAUGAGUCAUAUACCCACCCUGCUCUUCCCUAGCGAGACAGGGACCCUGAAGGCUGUGCAAAAAUGCAAUUUCAAGUAAUAAGGCUGAAAUUAAAACUCAGGUACUUGUAGAGUACAGGCAGAAGUGUUAUACAGCAGGUGAGCAGACCUGUGAACAUUACUUAUCAUCCUAGUACUUAAUAAAAUCACUUCCAUCUUGGCACCAGUCUUUCUUCCCUGCCUUGGAAAGAGAGAGAACAUCUUGCUUAUCAAAAUCACAUCCAAACUUGAUGUUGGUCUUUGUUGAUAAUGGUAUGUAUAUAGGUCAAACUCACCUGUCUGCUGCAACUGACAUAGAGAAGGACCAAGAGAGGCUGGAAAUGUUACCUAGUGGGAAUCAGGAGGAGAAGAUGAGACACUCCUAAGGCUCAGGUUAGAGAUGAGUAUCCCUGUAGUUUCUCCUCUUUCUUCCCCCACUUAUUCUUCCUUGUUGGGAGCCACUGUUCCUCUAGGGGAGAAGGAAACACUGAUAGAUAUCUGAGGUCCCAUCUCAAAUCACGUCUCCUCAUGUUGGCCUCCCAGUAUUACUAAUAAUUAAUCUGGCCUGAAUGCCCCAUUUUUUUCCAGCUCACACUUGUGUCUCCAUUUAGUUUUCUCUUGAUGACUCUGUGUGUGUUCCCAGAGCACCCAACAAAUGGUCUGUAGGUCCUGAUUUUAUGCACUAAGUCAUUAGUAACAGCAGUACUCAAAAAAAAUGUGUGUAUUAACCAGAUAUUUUUUAAAUGGCCCAUCUCCAUCUCUGAAUUUCCUGGUUUGUCUUUUCCUCUAUGUAUCUGAUUUUUAGAUUGCUGUAUUUGCUUGAUAGACACUACAAUUACUGUCAAGAAUGUCAGUGAUAUGAAGCUAUUAGGAGGCAAUAAUCUGUAUUCUCUAUUGAUAAACUAUUGCAAUAAAAAUCAAUAGCACAUUUAACAGUUUACAAAAACCUCACUGCCAGAUGGUUUCUUCUGAUGUUGUUGAUCUCUUUGUGUUCUUUGGUCUUAUGUAUAUCCCAUAAAGUUUGUCUGUACAUUAUUACAUCUCUGCUUUUUAACUGCUGUUACUGUAAGAAUGAACUAAUCAGAAAUCUCCGAAUGCCAGUCUAAUAAAAGUGCAUAAAGAUGGAUCAUGGGAAUGACCUGAAUGCAUAGGGGAUUUAUUAUGUGAGUAUGAGAAAACGUAUUGGACUGUUUGUGACUAAUAUUUUUGUUUGAUUUAUGAAUUCUGUCAUCUUUUAUAAUCCUCAAAUUAAUAGAAAACACAAGGGUCUUAGCUGUACUAAAAAAAAAAAAAAAACCAAACCCUCUCCUUUGGUAAACUUUAUCUACAUUUGUUUUUCAACCAUUUUGAAAAUCCAAAGUUCCUGAAAUUUUUGAGCUGGGUUAUGAUUUGCUGAAAUAAUAAGGGACCCUCUGAGAGUACUGGUUAUUUUCCUUUAUUUCAUUUGCCAUAGUAUGUGGGUCUGAUUUUGUUUUCUUUGGGUGAGUUACUUUGUUUUUAAAUUCAGGAAUUGAAACAAAACAAAUUCUCUCUGCAAAAUGUAACAAUUUGUGUUGAUUACAAUAAAAAAAAUCAAAGAAAAAGUUUUUUUUAACAUGUAUUUUGAUUAGGUAAUAGUAGUAUCUUAUAAAUCCAUGAGAUGGGUUAUAAAGGAAUAGCUUACUUAUUUCCAGGUGGAAAUAAUUUUGAAAGUAUAGAGAUAAGAAAUGUUGUCUAUGCAAGGAGAACACCUAGAAUGAAUAAAGAAGGAGAUGAAGAAAGGGGAGGGGAACUAAAAUCCAUAACUGAAGGAAAACCCAUUAUUUAACACCUAAACAUAUGUGUGCAUAUAAAAGCAUACCUUAUAAAAUGCUUAGUUUUCAGAACUAUAUAAAAAUUGUUGACGUUUUUUGCCUGAAGGAAUGUGCAAGAGAUGCAAGACCAUGUACCCCAACUGGCUCCUCUCUGUC